UACGAAGGGGGCUAGCGUUGCUCGGAAUUACUGGGCGUAAAGCGCACGUAGGCGGCCAUGAUAGUCAGAUGUGAAAGGCCUGGGCUUAACCCGGGAACUGCAUUUGAUACUGCAUGGCUAGAGUCCAAGAGAGGGUAGUGGAAUUCCCAGUGUAGAGGUGAAAUUCGUAGAUAUUGGGAAGAACACCAGUGGCGAAGGCGGCUACCUGGCUUGGAACUGACGCUCAGGUGCGAAAGUGCGGGGAGCAAACAGG
rnacentral:rRNA from 1 species